rnacentral:misc_RNA from 1 species
GAACACAUCCAACUUCUGUUUAGGGUUUUUUGAGCCAAGCACAAUCAUAGAUAAAAACAUGUACUCAUCCUUCAUGCAGAUCCACGAUCGCAAGUUGUAUGGCGUAACUAUCACAGGCCAUGAAGAGUAGUGUUGGCCUGAUUGCCCAAACGGUUGAAAACCAUCAAUGCACAAACCCAAUUUGACAUUUCUUGUUUCAUAUGCAAAACUUUGAUGCAUCUAAUCAAAAUGCUUCCAAGCAGGAGA